ACUCCUGCGGGAGGCAGCAGUGGGGAAUUUUGGACAAUGGGCGAAAGCCUGAUCCAGCAAUGCCGCGUGAGUGAAGAAGGCCUUCGGGUUGUAAAGCUCUUUUGUCAGGGAAGAAAAGGUGAAAGCUAAUAUCUUUUGCUAAUGACGGUACCUGAAGAAUAAGCCCCGGCUAACUACGUGCCAGCAGCCGCGGUAAUACGUAGGGUGCAAGCGUUAAUCGGAAUUACUGGGCGUAAAGCGUGCGCAGGCGGUUUUGUAAGUCUGAUGUGAAAUCCCCGGGCCCAACCUGGGAAUUGCAUUGGAGACUGCAAGGCUAGAAUCUGGCAGAGGGGGGUAGAAUUCCACGUGUAGCAGUGAAAUGCGUAGAUAUGUGGAGGAACACCGAUGGCGAAGGCAGCCCCCUGGGUCAAGAUUGACGCUCAUGCACGAAAGCGUGGGGAGCAAACAGGAUUAGAUACCCGUGUAGUCCCAU
rnacentral:rRNA from 1 species